UCUUCUCUUCUCCGCCCUACUUAAGCGCUCCAGAGCAACUGCGAGGGAGGGCGGGAGAGGAAGAGUGGAAUGCAGCAGAGAGGGAGGGUCUGUCAACGACGACCACGAAGCUUCUCGAGAUCACGUCUCGCCAUCGAAAGCCGCUGAGGGCUCGGCCCUGAGAAAGAAGAACAAUACGGUGGAAAACCAUCGCUUUUCUUUCUGUUCUUGUUUUGUUUACCUUGCGUUCAUACGGUUCGUGUGAAUCUCACGGAUAAUCUCGUGGAUCUGCUCCACAAAUGGUGGAAAUAGGAGGGAGCCAAUUAAGCGAGACGAUGGGGAACGAUCAAGGGAUAUCUCUCGAGGAGAUCAAGAAUGAGAACGUUGAUUUGAAAAACUUGAAAUGUUAGCACUUAUGGUGUUCAAAGUCUGACCACAGAAUGAAACUGGGGAAUGGUUCCAUGACUGACAGCGCCAAGCACUUGCGAGACAAAAAUGAGGAAGAGCAGCGUUAUCUAAUAUAUGUUAGAGAUAGGGUUGCCGAUCCAACAUCCUUGCCAACCUUGCAAGGUAAAUCAAAUUUUGAAUUUCAAGCCAAUAGAAGAAAUGCAAUUGACGCUGAAAAGAGGAAAGCAACAAAUGCUCCAACACAUGAAGAUGCCAAAAUCUAUUCCAAAGGAAAAGAAAUUCAAAUUUGUAAACAAGAUCCAAGAUUUUUGGAUCUUAACCAGCCUGAAAUUUCUAUUUAGUAUUCUUUCCUCUCUAAAAUUUAAAGGUUGUAAGAGAGGAUUCCCUUUUCAGAAUUGUAGAGAAGGAAAGACUUCAUGGACGUAGGUCAAGUUUGACCGAA